GCAAACUAAAAGGACCCUCAACAUUAGUGGUUGGGCUUAGAUAUGUGAGUAUGAAGGUUGCGGAUUACGGUAUAAAGGCGGCUUGUUGUGGCCCAAUGGUGGAACCCACGAGAAUUUUGCUUGUUUGGAAGUGGAGGAGCCCAUGGGCUUUAAUUUAACGAUUUAGUAAACAGCUGGUACUAAGUUGACACUUAACAUCAUAGCAGUAUCAGUCACGGAGCUAAGUGUGUUAGAGGGUUCGAUUAAAUCCCCUUCGUCAGAAAAUUACACUGCAAAGAGGAAAAGUUAGUUCUCAACCUACUUCAUUGACCACUAGACCACACUGAAGCUUGUGUGCAAUAUCCAUCUAUCUUGAUAGUUGAUAUGUAACACAUCAAACACGUAGU